rnacentral:rRNA from 1 species
CAGCAGCCGCGGUAAUACGUAGGUGGCAAGCGUUGUCCGGAAUUAUUGGGCGUAAAGGGCUCGCAGGCGGUUUCCUAAGUCUGAUGUGAAAGCCCCCGGCUCAACCGGGGAGGGCCAUUGGAAACUGGGAAACUUGAGUGCAGAAGAGGAGAGUGGAAUUCCACGUGUAGCGGUGAAAUGCGUAGAGAUGUGGAGGAACACCAGUGGCGAAGGCGACUCUCUGGUCUGUAACUGACGCUGAGGAGCGAAAGCGUGGGGAGCGAACAGGAUUAGAUACCCCCGUAGUCCCUGUCUCUUAUAC